UACGUAGGGAGCAAGCGUUGUUCGGAUUUACUGGGCGUAAAGGGCGCGUAGGGGGCUUUUUAAGUUUGGUGUGAAAUCUCCCGCUCAACUGGGAGGGUGCGCCGAAUACUGAGAAGCUAGAGUGUGGGAGAGGAAAGUGGAAUUCCUGGUGUAGCGGUGAAAUGACGUAGAUAUCAGGAGGAACACCGGUGGCGAGGGCGGCUUUCUGGGCCUUACCUGACGCUGAGGAGCGAAAGCUGGGGGGAGCGAACAGG
rnacentral:rRNA from 1 species